rnacentral:rRNA from 1 species
UUAGAGUAAUGUCUAAGUAUCAUUAAGUGAAUACAUAGCUUAAUGAGGGGAACUCAGGGAACUGAAACAUCUAAGUACCUGAAGGAAGAGAAAGAAAUUCGAUUCCGUAAGUAGCGGCGAGCGAACGCGGAUUAGCCCAAACCAAUAAAGUUUUCUUUAUUGGGGUUGCGGACAUAUCAUAACGAAGAGGUAUCGUAAUUGAAGAGGUUUGGAAAGACCCACCACAGAAGGUAAUAGUCCUGUAUGUUAAACGAGAAGACUUUAGAUAUGAUCCAGAGUACCACGGGACACGUGAAACCCUGUGGGAAGCAGGAGGGACCACCCUCCAAGGCUAAAUACUACCUAGUGACCGAUAGCGUAUAGUACCGUGAGGGAAAGGUGAAAAGAACCCCGGGAGGGGAGUGAAAUAGAACCUGAAACCCUGCACUUACAAGCUGUGGAAGCACAUUUCUUGUGUGACCGCGUACUUUUUGUAGAACGGGCCAACGAGUUACGUUAAGUAGCAAGGUUAAGCACUUAAGGUGCGGAGCCGUAGCGAAAGCGAGUUUUAACUGAGCGUUCAGUUACUUGACGUAGACCCGAAACCGGGCGACCUACCCAUGAGCAGGAUGAAGCGAAAGUAAAAUUUCGUGGAGGUCCGAACCCACGAGCGUUGAAAAGCUCGGGGAUGACUUGUGGGUAGCGGUGAAAUUCCAAUCGAGCCCGGAGAUAGCUGGUUCUCCCCGAAAUAGCUUUAGGGCUAGCCUCAAGGUGAGAGAUACGGAGGUAGAGCACUGAAUGUCCUAGGGGGUAUUGCACCUACCGAAGACUAUCAAACUCCGAAUGCCGUCAUCUUAUACUUGGGAGUCAGACUGUGGGUGAUAAGAUUCAUAGUCGAAAGGGCAACAGCCCAGAUCGUCAGCUAAGGUCCCUAAAUGUAAGUUAAGUGGUAAAGGAUGUGGGAUUGCACAGACAACCAGGAUGUUGGCUUAGAAGCAGCCACUCAUUCAAAGAGUGCGUAAUAGCUCACUGGUCGAGUGAUCCUGCGCCGAAGAUUUCCGGGGCUAAAACUUACUACCGAAGCUACGGCAUCAGUAAUGAUGGGUAGGGGAGCUUCCCAUACGGGUUGAAGCAUGACCGUAAGGACAUGUGGACAGUAUGGGAGUGAGAAUGUUGGCAUGAGUAGCGAGAUGUGGGUGAGAAUCCCACAGGCCGUAAACCCAAGGUUUCCAGGGGAAGGUUCGUCCGCCCUGGGUUAGUCGGGACCUAAGCUGAGGCCGAAAGGCGUAGGUGAUGGACAACAGGUUGAUAUUCCUGUACUACCGAUAACCGUUUGAGAGAAGGGAUGACACAGUAGGAUAAGCUAAGCACACUGUUGGUUAUGUGUGCCCAAGCAUUGAGGCAGUCAAAGUAGGCAAAUCCGCUUUGAUAAUGCUGGGAUGUGAUGGGGAGCGAAAUUUAGUAGCGAAGUAGCUGAUUUCACACUGUCAAGAAAAGUCUCUAUCGAGGUUAAAGGUACCCGUACCGCAAACCGACACAGGUGGGUGAGGAGAGUAUCCUAAGGCCAGCGAGAGAACUGUUGUUAAGGAACUCGGCAAAAUGACCCCGUAACUUAGGGAUAAGGGGUGCCACCAUCAGGUGGCCGCAGAGAAUAGGCCCAAGCGACUGUUUACCAAAAACAUAGGUUUCUGCUAAGUCGCAAGACGAUGUAUAGGAGCUGACGCCUGCCCGGUGCUGGAAGGUUAAGGGGAUCUGUUAGAGCAAUCGAAGCAGUGAACUUAAGCCCCAGUAAACGGCGGCCGUAACUAUAACGGUCCUAAGGUAGCGAAAUUCCUUGUCGGGUAAGUUCCGACCCGCACGAAAGGCGUAACGAUUUGGGCACUGUCUCAACAACAGACUCGGUGAAAUUGUAAUUCCGGUGAAGAUGCCGGAUACCUGCGACAGGACGGAAAGACCCCAUGGAGCUUUACUGUAGCUUGACAUUGGGUCUUGGUACUACAUGUACAGGAUAGGUGGGAGGCUUUGAAACCAGGACGCCAGUUUUGGCGGAGCCAUCCUUGGGAUACCACCCUUGUAGUACUGGGACUCUAACCAUAGGCCAUGAAUCUGGUCUUGGGACACUGUCA